rnacentral:rRNA from 1 species
GAUUCCAAUGUCGAAAGGGGGCCCCUGCUUGCAAGCUCCUACCGAACGAUGGGCCUGCGGGACAUUAGCUAGAUGGUGGGGUAACGGCCUACCAUGGCAACGAUGUCUAGCUGGUCUGAGAGGAUGAUCAGCCACACUGGGACUGAGACACGGCCCAGACUCCUACGGGAGGCAGCAGUGGGGAAUAUUGCGCAAUGGACGAAAGUCUGACGCAGCAAUGCCGCGUGAGUGAGGAAGGCCUUCGGGUUGUAAAGCUCUGUCAGAUGGGAAGAAAGAUAUUGGUUCGAACAGGGCCAGUAAGUGACGGUACCAUCAAAGGAAGCACCGGCUAACUUCGUGCCAGCAGCCGCGGUAAUACGAAGGGUGCAAGCGUUGUUCGGAUUUACUGGGCGUAAAGCGCGCGCAGGCGGAUGAUUAAGUCAGAUGUGAAAUCUCGGGGCUCAACCCCGAACGUGCGUCUGAAACUGGCCAUCUAGAAUCUUGGAGAGGGAAACGGAAUUUCGCAUGUAGGGGUAAAAUCCGUAGAGAUGCGAAGGAACAUCGGAGGCGAAGGCGGUUUCCUGGACAAGUAUUGACGCUGAGGCGCGAAAGUGUGGGGAGCAAACAGGAUUAGAUACCCUGGUAGUCCACACUGUAAACGAUGUGAGACUAGGCGUCGGGGGGAGCGACCCUCCCGGUGCCGUCGCUAACGCUA